UAGAAUUGACGGGACCCGCACAAGCGGUGGAUGAUGUGGAUUAAUUCGAUGCAACGCGAAAACCUUACUACCCUUGACAUGUCCGGAAUCCUGCAGAGAUGCGGGAGUGCCCGAAAGGGAAUCGGAACACAGGUGCUGCAUGGCUGUCGUCAGCUCGUGUCGUGAGAUGUUGGGUUAAGUCCCGCAACGAGCGCAACCCUUAUCAUUAGUUGCUACGCAAGGGCACUCUAAUGAGACUGCCGGUGACAAACCGGAGGAAGGUGGGGAUGACGUCAAGUCCUCAUGGCCCUUAUGGGUAGGGCUUCACACGUCAUACAAUGGUCGGUACAGAGGGUUGCCAACCCGCGAGGGGGAGCCAAUCCCACAAAGCCGAUCGUAGUCCGGAUUGUUCUCUGCAACUCGAGAGCAUGAAGUCGGAAUCGCUAGUAAUCGCAGGUCAGCAUACUGCGGUGAAUACGUUCCCGGGUCUU
rnacentral:rRNA from 1 species